rnacentral:lncRNA from 1 species
UUUACUAUGUUUUUCAGAUUUUUAAGUCCGUAAGUGCAUACAGUUUUCUCUAAUUUUUAAACCCUUUCCUCCUCCCAUUUUGACAUUUGCACUUGGAGAACACUUGAGUUGUGAAGGUUUUGGGCAUCCACCCCAGAAAGUGGGAAUUUGAUUUUAUCCUUCCGAACUGGAAGAACAUUUUUAUGAAGAAUUUUUGUCUAGG